ACUCACUCCAAAACGUAAAUAGCAUCUAUGGUAAGGAUUCAAACGUCUAGUCCGUGGGCCGUACCUUUGACAUUCCUGAUCUAUGUUUGACUGCGUCGAAAGAAUAAGUAAGAUUAAGUGUAUUAAUUAUUAAAUACACAUUUAAGUGUUGAUACGCGUUAAGUGCACAAGUAUUAAUACGCGAUUAAGAACACGUUUAAGUGUUACGCAAUUGAAUAUAAGAACACGAUUAAAAUUCACUUUCAACAGAACUUUGUUGAGUGAAAUUGUUGGCUAUGUUGAUAACAUCGAAUCUCCACGUUGCGUGGGCUCGCAACAACAAUAUAAGUUCUUCAAAUUUUAUUUAAAUAACGGAAAAGGAAAAAGGGUUCAAAUUGUUGCCUGGAAUGAUGACAUUGAUUUUGUGGAACAUCAUAUAAAAGUA